rnacentral:rRNA from 1 species
GACGAACGCUGGCGGCGUGCUUAACACACGCAAGUCGAACGGUGAAAGCGGAGCUUGCUCCGCUGGAUCAGUGGCGAACGGGUGAGUAACACGUGGGCAACCUGCCCCUCACUUCGGGAUAACUCCGGGCAACCGGGGCUAAUACCGGAUAUGCCCUCCUUGGGCAUCCCUCGAGGUGGAAAGUUUUUCGGUGAGGGAUGGGCCCGCGGCCUAUCAGCUUGUUGGUGAGGUAGUGGCUCACCAAGGCGACGACGGGUAGCCGGCCUGAGAGGGCGACCGGACACACUGGGACUGAGACACGGCCCAGACUCCUACGGGAGGCAGAAGUGGGGAAUAUUGCGCAAUGGGCGAAAGCCUGACGCAGCAACGCCGCGUGCGGGAUGACGGCCUUCGGGUUGUAAACCGCUUUCAGCAGGGAAGAAGCCGCAAGGUGACGGUACCUGCAGAAGAAGCACCGGCUAACUACGUGCCAGCCGCCGCCGUAA